GAUGGUAUAGCUCAGUGGUAGACUGCAUGCUUAGCAUGCAUGAGGUCCUGGGUCCAAUCCCCAGUACCUCCA
rnacentral:tRNA from 1 species